rnacentral:lncRNA from 10 species
AUGCAAUAAAUCAACAGGAAGAUGAACAGAGGAUUCAAGAUGAUACACUCAAAUGAAAGUAAAGGGAAAAAAGAUAAGCACAAGUCUAUUAAUUGCAACAGUUUUGGUCAGAGUAAAAUAUUAGAAAUAACCCAAAUGUGUAAUAGUCAGGGUAGAUUAAAUAAAAUUGUGUUAUAGAUAUGUUAUUAAAAUUUUGAAGAGGCACAGGCCACUUUUUAUUUUUGACACUUAUAUUAAAAAAUCAAGGUUUUUUUUAAAAAAAGUUAAUAAAAUUCUAGUCUACCUUACCUGUUCACAUUAAACAGAUUAAUCCUUUCAAGAUGAAAAUAUAAUUUACUAUUUACAAGUUAACUUCAGAAUUUAUAGAAACUAUUAAUCGACAGUUCACUAUAGAUGGUAUGAUCUGGUAAGUAGUUUACAAAUUUCAAGUUAUGAGA